rnacentral:rRNA from 1 species
CCUACGGGUGGCAGCAGUAGGGAAUCUUCCACAAUGGGCGAAAGCCUGAUGGAGCAACGCCGCGUGGGUGAAGAAGGUCUUCGGAUCGUAAAACCCUGUUGUUAGAGAAGAAAGUGCGUGAGAGUAACUGUUCACGUUUCGACGGUAUCUAACCAGAAAGCCACAGCUAACUACUUGCCAGCAGCAGCGGUAAUACGUAGGUGGCAAGCGUUAUCCGGAUUUGUUGGGUGUAAAGGGAACGCAGGCGGUCUUUUAAGUCUGAUGUGAAAGCCUUCGUCUUAACCGGAGUAGUGCAUUGGAAACUGGGAGACUUGAGUGCAGAAGAGGAGAGUUGAACUCGAGGUGUAGCGGUGAAAUGCGUAGAUAUAUGGAAGAACACCAGUGGCGA